UACGAAGGGGGCUAGCGUUGCUCGGAAUUACUGGGCGUAAAGCGCACGUAGGCGGAUCGUUAAGUCGGGGGUGAAAUCCUGGAGCUCAACUCCAGAACUGCCUUCGAUACUGGCGAUCUCGAGUUCGGGAGAGGUGAGUGGAACUGCGAGUGUAGAGGUGAAAUUCGUAGAUAUUCGCAAGAACACCAGUGGCGAAGGCGGCUCACUGGCCCGAUACUGACGCUGAGGUGCGAAAGCUAGGGGAGCAAACAGGG
rnacentral:rRNA from 1 species